ensembl:lincRNA 2900076A07Rik RIKEN cDNA 2900076A07 gene
GGAGAAAUUAUGACCGAGAGCCUGACACCUGAUGCUAGCGGCUUUUGUCUCGCCAAGUUGACCCAGUAUUUGGCCACCUUGUGCGGCGGGUGACUAUGGUGUCCCGGUAUAUAUAUGUAUUACCUGAAAGCCCAGGGCAGUUGUUGCCUUGGGUCAUGCAGAGAAUAUGCAGCCACACCCAUGCCUUAGAUGUGUGUAAUUCAAGUGGAGAAGACACAAGCCAGUGGUCGCAAUAUCAACACUUGAGUGUUCUGUAAACGGAUUGGUGUCAGCAGAAAACCAACAGUGAUGUGGUGGCACACAGUGAACUGACCAGACCCAGGCAGCAGCGGCUCUUUUGGUGGCAAUGGUGCCAUGUCAUGGGUACUCUCCUUGCUGAUGGCAGAUACCGACAGGCAAACUGUUGCCUUGCGUUUAGCUCUGUUAACCAUUGACAGUAAGAUUUAUCAGAGGUUGCAGCUGCACAUGGCCAUGAGGUAAACCCUGCCCCUGGUUGAAAUUGAGUUUCAUCAGCUUCUACAUGGGAUUGUAAGGACUUGGAAUAUAUCACAAACCCAGCAGGGUUUCCCCCCUCUUUUUUUUUUAAGAUUUAUUUUUCUUCCUAAAGAUAACAUGCUUAAACAAAGUUCUUUAUGGUUAGUAACUGUGAUGCUUGAAGUUGGUUAUCCUUUACUCCAGUAAAUUUUAAAUGUCAAAGAUACCUUGUUAAAUAAAAAAAAAAAC